GGCAAAUCAGGCGGUGGGGAUAUGCAGCAUUAUCCCCGUCUGCAGGCUGCAUCUGAUGUUGUUCCACCUCCACACGCAUUUCUCCCAGGAUUACGUACACACUGACUUACAGCAGCGGCGGCGAGCUGCCUGAUGAGGAUGAUGAUGAUGAUGAUGAUGAUGCCACAUACGUACGGCUGUGAUACACUGCAGCACAGGCGGCGGCGGCGCCGGCCUCGGAGCCCGGAGACGAUCCGGCUGCAGCAUCGGGCCGGACGGAAGGAGGCCUGGUGUGCUGCUGCACAGACCCACUCUGAGCUUUCAGUGGUUUCAUAAAUUGCUGCAUUCUUAAGUGUCAAGACGUUGGGGUUCGUCAUGUCUGCGCCGGUUUAGCUGACGAAGCCAAAGUGGGCGUCCUGGAUCAACCCUCGCUUCCAGUACGACGACGGAUACGCUGUUACCUGAAUAAUGAGCAGCGCCGACCCGUCAGAGGUGCAGAGCUGUUUCAUUUGAAUCUCAUUUGAAUUGGGUGCCGGAG
rnacentral:lncRNA from 1 species